UUUGGGCCAGGUGACAGAGUGACCCCUGAGGAAAGAAAGUGCUGUUCUGCCCCCACCCUUUCCUACUCAUGUGUCCCAACCAGGGCAUGAGAUCAUCAGCAUCACUGUGCAUGGCCCCACCAGUCUUCCCCACCUGAUAGACGGAGGAGUUCCACUGCCAUUCGCUAUUGUUGGGACUGAAGAAGAUGGGACGGGUAGGUGGAGGAGCCAAGCAGUAACACAUUGUGCUCUGCAAUCCACUCACAACCCCUGUGGAGUUCAUGGAGGUUGAAGGCCACAGGGAGGAUGUUGUCAUAAAUAUAGCAGAUUGUCCAUCAAAAGAGUUUCUGGCCCAUUUCCGGACGCCUUCAUCAUAUCUUGAGUCUUUUCAACACUACCACCUGGAGCUGGUACAGGGCAGUACCCUCAGGAGUGUGCAUCUAUGUUACCAUGGUACGGAAACUCAGCCUCAUCCCCAGACUCCCUUGCUUCUCCUUCACUGGCUUUGAGUUUCCCAUUUACUGAGAUCACGCAUUGAUCUGCACGCAUUGAGCUGCACACCAGGAAGUAUUGAAUAUCAGAUGAGCCUAAAAUGUAUCUUUGUUUUUCUGUUGCUGUCUGCCCCUUUGUCUCUAAAACUCAAUUUUUAGUUUCACAGUCAGUUUCUCUUUAUUUCUUUUUAUUUUCUCUCAGUCACUCUGACUCAUUUUGUCACUCACAGAUACUAUGUUUUUUUUUCUCCCCUUCUCAUUAUCAGGUAUUGUUUAUGCCACAGUCCAUUAACAGUCCAUUGAAAGAUCCAGUGGGACCCUUAUUAACUGUAGCCCAUAUUGUUGCUUGUUAUGAUUCAUACAGGUAUACACUCUCUCUCUGAAGUGCUUUGACUAAAUCCAUCACAACUACUAUAUGUUGUAGGCGAAUGUGCUCUUUUGUAAGAGCUUAGAGCUCAGAGCUGCAUUAAAAGCAUCUUAUCAUACUGCAUGCUAAUGUACUUAAGGUCCAUGACAUCACUUAAGAGAGAAAAUGUAUAAUGAUCCAUGGCUGCAGACACUUAAAUGAGCUGCCUGAAAGCUGGGAGGCAGCAGUGGGAGCGGUCUAUGAGCAAAAUUUUCUCUGAGGGUUUAGGACUGGACUUCAUUUAUGCUUUACAUGUGUACUUGUGGCACUUAUAGUAGACUAUAACAUAGAGAUUUUGGAAGAUUUCCAUCUCCAGUACUCUGCAAAUCUGUUUACCAUCAUCAGGUAAUUGACCAGAGUAAUAAUUGAAGCCAGUGUCCACUGUCUGUUUAUUUCAUUAUCUUCCCAUUGUAUGUUGACGCACAUUCUUUAGGUUGCAUUUAACAA